rnacentral:lncRNA from 1 species
GCCAUAACUACAGAUUAAUGUGCUGGCUACUUCAUCUUUAUUCUGUCAUCUCUCUGCAGCUUUAUGGGGAAAGUAGGCUGACAUGGUUAUUAAAUCUGGCAGCUGUGUUGUAUGCACAUGGGAAGCAAGUAGAGCACAGCAUAUAGAAAACGAGUAGCUUUCAGACGACAGCCUCCUUUUCACUGCUACUAGGCUUGAAAGGCAGCCUAAAAAGCUCUUUCUCUUUGUAAUCAGCAGUCACUGGAUCAGCGAGCAAAUAUCACAAACACAUUGCAAAUUCAAUAUUCUGGGAUCACUCCUUCUCUCUCCUAAUUCCUUACAAGAAGAAUUAUGAAUCAAAUGAGAUCCCGCUGGCUCGCUCUGGACCAAGACCUUCAACUACUGCUCACCAACAGAGGGGACACAGCCUGCAGCCCAGUUCCUGUCCACCGUGAGGUCUUGAAGCUGGCUAACUUCUCUCUAGAUACUGGUACAAUAUGCAAGAAAAAGAACAAUAUUGACAGUGAGGAUUUUUUAUGGGGCAAUAUAUAAAGGUACUGUCUUCUGAGAGAGCCACCUGUAGGAAUACUUUUCCUCACAUUAAAGCCUUCC